rnacentral:lncRNA from 1 species
CCAGAUACAUAACCAAAAAGCAAAUAGGCUUUCUACAUUUGUGAGAAAAUACGAUAUCCAUUUCUGUGCAUGUGAAAAUACCUAUUAUGUCCAAAAAAAGAUACUGCUAUUCCUCUUCGCAGAGCUAUCUCCUAAAGGAAGAGAAUAUGGAUGGAUCACCAAAAACAUGAUCUCCUCCAAAAUCCCAAACCUAAUUCCCAAAGGUUUUAUCACAGAAAACUUCUGGUCACAUUUUAAUUAAACCCUUUGUGCUUGUCCCAAAAUUGUUAAGUGCGUGUUGGCGGACAUCCAUCAGCUCAUUCUGGGCUCUCUGAAAUGACUGUGGAAGGCUACAUCUAGAGUCUAUGCAGAAAUUAAUUUUACCUUUGAAGGAAGGGCCAUGCUCUAACUGCAGAACACCACUUCGGAUAUCUUUGUAGGACACGAUUCAUUUUCAAUCAAAACAAAUGUGACUAUUUUCAAUGUAUUCACCCUGCCUGGGCCAUUACUAAAUAGUUUUUCAUUCACCUUUUUCUGCUAUCAAGGACAUUUACAAAUGAUAUCAGAAGACGGCCACCAUCACUUUUUAAGGAACAUGAUAGUGACAGUUAUUUUUUAAUUUAUUGGUGAAAGGAGGAUUAAAACAACACAGCCCCUGGGAAAAUUUGUGAAUUAAGUGGUUAGCCUUUUUCCUGGUACCACUGAAGUAUUCUACCAAUUCCUAGACACUGAAGCUUUCCAUGGAACUCUGCUCUCCUCUGGCAACUUUUGUCAUUGAAAAUACCUGAUGCAUUAGGUUAGCUAACAAUGUCUUAAGGUUCUACUUCUCCAAGAAAAUUGAUACGUUAAGGAACAUAACAGUAAUGACAUAACUUU